rnacentral:rRNA from 1 species
AGAGUUUGAUCAUGGCUCAGAAUCAACGUUGGCGGCGCGCUUAACACAUGCAAGUCGAACGAGAAAGUGGAGCAAUCCAUGAGUAAAGUGGCGUACGGGUGAGUAACACGUGGGUAUCCAUUCUUUGGUGGGGAAUAACUCUGGGAAACCGGAGCUAAUACCGCAUAAGUCCGAGAGGAGAAAGGUGAAAAUCGCCGAAGAGGGAGCCCGCGGCUGAUUAGCUAGUUGGUGAGGUAACGGCCCACCAAGGCGAAGAUCGGUAGCCGGCCUGAGAGGGCACACGGCCACACUGGCACUGAGACACGGGCCAGACUCCUACGGGAGGCAGCAGUGGGGAAUCUUGCACAAUGGGGGCAACCCUGAUGCAGCGACGCCGCGUGAACGAUGAAGCCCUUCGGGGUGUAAAGUUCUUUCGGCAGGAACGAUAAUGACGGUACCUGAAGAAGAAGCUGCGGCUAACUACGUGCCAGCAGCCGCGGUAAUACGUAGGCAGCAAACGUUGUUCGGAGUUACUGGGCGUAAAGAGUACGUAGGCGGUUUGCCAAGUUUGGUGUGAAAUCUCCUGGCUUAACUGGGAGGGUGCGCCGAAUACUGGCGGGCUUGAGUAUUGGAGAGGAAAGCGGAAUUCCUGGUGUAGCGGUGAAAUGCGUAGAUAUCAGGAGGAACACCGGUGGUGUAGACGGCUUUCUGGACAAUCACUGACGCUGAGGUACGAAAGCGUGGGUAGCAAACAGGAUUAGAUACCCUAGUAGUCC